AGUGAACGCUGGCGGCAGGCCUAACACAUGCAAGUCGAGCGGCAGCGGGUCCUUCGGGAUGCCGGCGAGCGGCGGACGGGUGAGGAAUGCGUCGGAAUCUGCCUUUUUGUGGGGGAUAACGUAGGGAAACUUACGCUAAUACCGCAUACGACCUAAGGGUGAAAGUGGGGGACCGCAAGGCCUCACGCAGAAAGAUGAGCCGACACCGGAUUAGCCAGUUGGCGGGGUAAAGGCCCAACAAGGCGACGAUCCGUAGCUGGUCUGAGAGGAUGAGCAGCCACACUGGAACUGAGACACGGUCCAGACUACUACGGGAGGCAGCAGUGGGGAAUAUUGGACAAUGGGCGCAAGCCUGAUCCAGCCAUGCCGCGUGUGUGAAGAAGGCCUUCGGGUUGUAAAGCACUUUUGUCCGGAAAGAAAUCCAAUCGAUUAAUACUCGGUUGGGAUGACGGUACCGGAAGAAUAAGCACCGGCUAACUUCGUGCCAGCCGCCGCAGUAAGAC
rnacentral:rRNA from 1 species